rnacentral:rRNA from 1 species
UUCCGGUUGAUCCUGCCGGACCUGACUGCUAUCGGAUUGAUACUAAGCCAUGCGAGUCAUUGCAGCAAUGCAAGGCAGACGGCUCAGUAACGCGUAGUCAACCUAACCUAUGGACGGGAAUAACCUCGGGAAACUGAGAAUAAUACCAGAUAGAACAUUAUGCCUGGAAUGGUUUAUGUUCCAAAUGAUUUAUUGCCAUAGGAUGGGACUGCGGCCUAUCAGUUUGUUGGUGAGGUAAUGGCCCACCAAGACUAUUACAGGUACGGGCUCUGAGAGGAGUGGCCCGGAGAUGGGUACUGAGGCACGGACCCAGGCCCUAUGGGGCGCAGCAGGCGAGAAAACUUUGCAAUGUGCGAAAGCACGACAAGGUUAAUCCGAGUGGUUUCUGCUAAAGGAACCUUUUGACAGUCCUAAAAACACUGUUGAAUAAGGGGUGGGCAAGUUCUGGUGUCAGCCGCCGCGGUAAAACCAGCACCUCAAGUGGUCAGGAUGAUUAUUGGGCCUAAAGCAUCCGUAGCCGGCUCUGUAAGUUUUCGGUUAAAUCUGUACGCUUAACGUACAGGCUGCUGGGAAUACUGCAGAUCUAGGGAGUGGGAGAGGUAGACGGUACUCGGGAGGAAGUGGUAAAAUACUUUGAUCUCUCGAUGACCACCUGUGGCGAAGGCGGUCUACCAGAACACGUCCGACGGUGAGGGAUGAAAGCUGGGGGAGCAAACCGGAUUAGAUACCCGGGUAGUCCCAGCUGUAAACUAUGCAAACUCAGUGAUGCACUGGCUUGUGGCCAGUGCAGUGUUGCAGGGAAACCGUUAAGUUGCCGCCUGGGAAGUACGUACGCAAGUAGA